GAUGAACGCUGGCGGCGUGCCUAACACAUGCCAGUCGAGCGAACAAAUGAUUAGCUUUCUCCUCUGACGUUAGCGGCGGACGGCUGAUGAACACGUGGAUAACCUACCUCUAAGACUUGGAGGAUUUCGGCAAACCGGAGCUGCUACCACAUAAUAUAUUGAACCUCUUGCUUCAAUAGUGAAAGACGGUUUUUCUUUCACUGAGAGAUGGAUCCGCGCCGCAUUAGCUAGUUGGUAAGGUAACGGCGUACCAAGGCGACGAUGAGUAGCCGACCUGAGAGGGGGAUCGGCCAGACUGGAAGUGAGAAACGGUGGAGACGCCUACGGGAGGAAGCAGUAGGGAAUAUUCCGGAACGGGCGGAAGCAGGAUGGAGCAACGACGCGUGGGUGGUGAAGGUCUUCGGCUCGUAAAACUCUGUUAUCGGGGAAGAAGAAAUGCGGAAGUAACUAUGCACGUGUUGACGGUACCUAAAUAGAAAGCGCCGGCUAACUACGUG
rnacentral:rRNA from 1 species